rnacentral:rRNA from 1 species
CAGCAGCCGCGGUAAUACGGAGGGGGCUAGCGUUGUUCGGAAUUACUGGGCGUAAAGCGUACGUAGGCGGCUUUGUAAGUUAGAGGUGAAAGCCUGGAGCUCAACUCCAGAAUUGCCUUUAAGACUGCAUCGCUUGAACGUCGGAGAGGUGAGUGGAAUUCCGCGUGUAGCAGUGAAAUGCGUAGAUAUGCGGAGGAACACCGAUGGCGAAGGCAGCCCCCUGGGCCAAUACUGACGCUCAUGCACGAAAGCGUGGGGAGCAAACAGGAUUAGAUACCCCCGUAGUCCCUGUCUCUUAUAC